rnacentral:lncRNA from 1 species
AGUGUAUAGAGAUAAAUGUCACAAUAAUCAGAGUAUUUAUUACAUAGCGGAAGUCUUACAAAAUAAAUUAUAAAUAUAAAAGGAUCUAAAAUCCAUCCUUAGCACCAGAAAGUCAACUGGGAGACGCCACCUAGAUCGAAUCGAACUCCUCGUUGUCUGGCUCCUCUUGAACCACCUGUUCUUCUCCUGUGGGGGGUGUGAGACAACAAGGGUGAGCUCACACAUGUUCAUCGCUCAACAAGUUGUGGGGAAUAAUGUGGCAUGAACUCACCAAAGGUGGGAGUUCAUGUAAUGUGUAAGGCUGAUCAACAAUAGGGGUUAAAGUUGAGCAUUGCUUUUAAUAAGUUGGUCAAAUUCUAUUAGCAAUUACUAAGUAAAAGUAAAUACCAAACCAUAAUAAAUAAUAGAACAAAAUUAAUAACAAAAUCCCAUGCAAUGCAAAUGACAAAUUGAGUUUAAGUUCCAUAAAUUAAUCAUGCGAGAGUCCUGAGCUGCUCAUGACCGUGAGGUCGGCUAGUAUACUAGUUUUACACUCUGCAGAGGUUGUACCCUAUACCCAUAAGUCGUGUAUUCCAUGUCGCCAGGGUUUGCAAGGCCCUUAGACACUACCGAGGUGAAUGGCUGGGGAUCCACUACGAGGCCUUUAGAAAGUUCCACUAGCUUCCGAAAACCCGCUACAGUUAUGGUAAGAGCACUUGCAAGAAUCCCCCGUCUGACCGCCAUUGCAGCAAAAUUAACCCGAGAACCUCCUUGCAUGCAACUCCCCUACUGCCCUUGCCCCUUUCGGGUAAGGUAGUCUUCCACUAGCUUUCCUAAUUAGUUAGCCAAGGGCAUCCCAUUCCACCCUUGUGGUGGCACGUGUUUCUCAAGUUAAGCUCCAUGUUCCAAUUAACAUUAAAGAUCUUGACAUGAACAUAAAUAGAAUAACAAAAUAAUUGGAACAUGGAUAUAAUGAAAUACUAACCCAAAACCGUAUAAAGCAAUAGCAAAACUAUCCAAGUGAUUCAGGGGGUAACAAGGUAAAAGAUAAUCAGACUAGGGUGACCUAUUGGUUCCCAUCAAAAUUAAACAUAUGCAUUGAAUAGUGAUAAUAAAGAAUAUUAUUGGGAAACAAAAGUGGAUCAAGGGCACAACUUGCCUAGCACUUGAGAUUCCAGUUACCAGGGUGAUUCUUCAGAUCCACGUGAUCUCACCGCUAGUCGUAGCAAUACAAACAGACAUGGUAUAGAUAAAAUUAACAUCACACCAAACAUAAGUACAAACUGAAUAAUAAUGAUCUACACGAAGCUACGAGAUCGCGGGGUCGAGAACUAUUAAAAUCUGAGUUACGGUUAAGGAGUUAUGAUUUUAUAAAAUAUCUGUGUGAUUAAAAUAUUAAACUAUAUUAUAACUUGGUUAAUAUAAAUUAUAUGAGAGGUUAUUCUCUAAAUAACGUCAUUAUUUGAUUAAAGAUCAUCUAGUCAAGUUAUAAUCCUAAGAUCAGAAUAUUAUAUUAAUAUUAAAGAUGUUAAUCCAAUAGACAUAGAUUAAUCCAAUUAGUUACCUAAUUAUAAAAGUAGGGUAUAUCAUAUAACAAAUGUUGCUACUAGGUAGUAAAUAUUUAUACGAAGCUAACGCAACUAGAACGAGUCAAUUUGGAAUUAAAACGAAAGAGUUAUGAAUUUGUGAAGGUCUUAUGUAUUUGAUACAAGAUUAAUUAAGGUAUAAAUUUUAAUGUGACUUUCAUGUCAAAACAGAGAUACUAAAUGAUAAACAACAAUUUUAUAAAAUUAUAGAAAUUGGAAUGGAUUAAUUUGGAGCUAAAAUGAAUUUAAUAUGAAUUAUAUAAGUUCUUUGGAAUUAUUUUGGUAUUAAAAUUCAAUUUCUUUAACUAUUUAUCUAAAUAAUCAAUUCUCUGGAUUGGGCGCACUAUUAUUAGAAAGUGUAGGGGUCUCAGUAUAAGUCUUCCCAAGACCCUGAACGACUGGCGCCAGGACCGUGAGUUGAAUACCUAAAAGCAUAGGGUCUCUUUAGUGAAAUGGCAUGGCGAAGAGAUAUGAUGGAUUCUGAGUCAUCCGAUCCAGACCCAAGGGCCCAGAUUAGACCUAGGCUAUUACGAAUCGGUGCAUAACGGGGCCACACGAUUCAAAUCUACGGUCAGGAUUUAAUGACUCGCAGAUCUAAUCUCCGCCACUUAUUGCUCAUCCUACGUUCCAGAUGAGAUCCCUAUGAAUCGAUAUGCAAGAAUUCAUCCCGGUCGUCAGUCACAGGAUCAAUGGACCUACUAGUGUCUUCUUCCUCGCGACUCCUAGGCACCGACGUCUGCGCGCCAUGACGGUGGACCUGCCCUGCACUGCCGCCGUAUAAGCUAAAACAUCAGAGGGGUGGUAACGGCGAGAAAAUAAUGGAGGCAUACCGUGGCUCGGCCUAGGGACGAGCAGCGCCGCACUACGGCAGCCCCACUCGGUCUUCUUCACGCGGUGAUAAUGCGGUGCCCUCCCAACACCGUAAGCACAGGGAACACCCCCGGCGUCCAGCGCGAACUUGCCGAUCUCCCUAGCCCGAUGCCGAGGUCCGGUGACGCGCGUCACGGACAAGCUCCAUCGUCAUCUCUGACCGACAGCGAAACUCUCUCUCUCUCUCUCGGUUCUCUCUUUCUUGGAUGCUUGGUGGGGGCUCUUGGCUUCGCCCGAGGUGACCGACGGGCACCGAGUGGAUGGGGUGGCCGCGGUG